GGACGAACGCUGGCGGCGUGCUUAACACAUGCAAGUCGAGCGGGGCCCAACCUGUCGCAAGGCAGGGGAAGGUCUAGCGGCGAACGGGUGAGUAACACGUGAGGAACCUGCCCCGAAGACCGGGAUAAGCCGGGGAAACCUGGUCUAAUACCGGAUACCCUCGUUGCAUCGCAUGGUGUGACGAGGAAAUGGAUUCCGCUUCGGGAGGGUCUCGCGGCCUAUCAGCUUGUUGGUGGGGUAACGGCCUACCAAGGCUACGACGGGUAGCUGGUCUGAGAGGACGACCAGCCACACUGGGACUGAGACACGGCCCAGACUCCUACGGGAGGCAGCAGCGGGGAAUCUUGCGCAAUGGGCGAAAGCCUGACGCAGCAACGCCGCGUGCGGGACGAAGGCCUCGGUUGUAA
rnacentral:rRNA from 1 species